rnacentral:lncRNA from 1 species
GGGUGUCAGUCAGUGUCACAAUGCAAGCUUUGUUCUGAAAAAGAAUCUCAUAGAUUUUAUAGGCUCUAGAAGGAGAGUGACAUUCCAAUUUUCUCCCAAUUCUAUUGGAAGGUCAAUCUUAAAUGCUGUAUAGGAGGAUCUCAUUGAGAAGAUAUCAUUUGAGCAAAGAUGUAAAGCAAGGGAGGGAAUGAGUCAGUGGCUACAUAGCGAGAGUGUCCUAGGCAGAGGAAACAGCUUCUACAAAAGCCCUGAAGCAAGAGAAUGUUUGAAGUGUUCAAGAAUAAACAGGAGAUGCAGAAUGAAUGGAAUUGAGAGUGAGUGAGGCAGUCGGAUACAAGAGAGACUAAUAUGGGGCAGCACUGAAGACUGCUGACAGCAGCCACAUGAGUGAGCUCAGAGUGGACACAACAGCCCCUUCAGAGGCUGCAGGGAUGGCAGACAGCCUGACUGCAAUGUCGUGAAAGAUGCUGAGGCAGAACCAUGCAGCAAAGUCAUUCCCAGAUUCCUGACUCUCAGAAAAUACCCUCUUGUGACAGGUGCCCACCCUGUACCUGAAGGAAAGGAAAGUCCUUAUCUCUGAAGACACAGAGACACCAAGAAGAAACUGAACAGACAGGCCUUGCUAUAUCCCUGCCAGUUUAUUACCACUAGAGCUAACGCUUUU